rnacentral:misc_RNA from 1 species
AAAGCCUGUCGCACCAACUCUGUGUGGGAAACCGCUGGAGGGCCCGUGCUAACUACACGGGGUGGUAACAGACGACACGGAUACCUCCACGCCUUUUUUGGUGUAGAUACCAUGGGCAAUCCGCAGCGAAGCCUCUAAGUCCGGCCGCCGGAUAUGAGGAACGUUCACAGACUAAGUGGAAGUGGGUGGAGCGUUCGCCGCUCUGCUUAAGAUAUAGUCGGUCCCCUUGGGAAACUAAGGGGGUGAGUACACUGCUCGAAAUUUAAACUUGAGCGCAUCUCGGAUAGCGCUCGUGUUAGAAUUUCGGGACCGUCGAUUGCCUCGCGGUUCGACGGCUCUUAAAACGUUCCGUAGGUGAACCUGCGGAAGGAUCAUUACAGAAAGUAAACGCGGAUCAAACCGCGAACUUUUAAACCUUUGACGAUUGACUCAUGUUGCCUCGGCGGGUUCUCUCGCCAGAGGAUACAUCAAAACUCCUGUUUUAACGGUGUUGUCUGAGCUACAAGCAACGAAUCAAAACUUUCAACAACGGAUCUCUUGGUUCUGGCAUCGAUGAAGAACGCAGCGAAAUGCGAUAAGUAGUGUGAAUUGCAGAAUUCAGUGAAUCAUCGAAUCUUUGAACGCACAUUGCGCCCCUUGGUAUCCCGAGGGGCAUGCCUGUUCGAGCGUCAUUUCACCACUCAAGCCUGGCUUGGUGUUGGGCGACGUCCCCUUCAGGGACGCGCCUCGAAACGCUCGGCGGCGUGGCACCGGCUUUAAGCGUAGCAGAAUCUUUCGCUUCAAAAGUUGGGGCCCCGUCUGCCGGAAGACCUACUCGCAAGGUUGACCUCGGAUCAGGCAGGGAUACCCGCUGAACUUAAGCAUAUCAAUAAGCGGAGGAA